GAGGGGAAUCAUGAGUGUGAGGCCAGCCUGAGUCAAUCCUGAGACCAUCUGAAAAAGAAAAAAAAUCUUCCAGGACUCAGAUGAACUAGGACGAUGUUGUCACCAGCAGACCUGCACCAUGAGACAGAAUUGCUGAGAAAAUAUCCUGAGAGAGGAAGGGUAAUGAGAGCGGCCCAAGAGCAGAGAGAGGCUGUGGGUUUGUGGGAGAUGGCCUGUGGAGGGAACUUCAAAGACAACAUUUCAGGAAUCAUUUCUCGAGUCUGAAGGGACUCUUCACCUCCCGCUCUUUAGUAGCUGGAUAGGUCAGAUUGACAGAACCCAUAGGAGAUCAAAAUCAGGAGGAGGUGGGGGCUUAGAAACGACGACGGCAAAGAUUUAAAAGGCACAAGGAGCUGAUGAAGAGGCAUGAGGCAGAGCACCUUAGAGAAAGUUCAGGCAGGAUGCCCUUCUGGCCUCGUGGAGGCCAGCCAGAGUGUGUCUCAAGAGUCUUCCAUGAGAAGAUUGCUAAAGGCACACGUUCUAAACCUACACGGCCCACAUCCUAACAGCCAUGUGAAGACCUUCCUCUUGCAGAGAAGAUUUUCAUUAAAGGUUCCUUAACCC
rnacentral:lncRNA from 1 species